ensembl:snRNA U6 U6 spliceosomal RNA
GUGCUUGCUUCGGCAGCACACAUACUAAAAUCAGAAAUACAGAGAUUAGCAUGGCCCCUGCACAAAGAUGACACGCAAAUUCGUGAAGCAUUCCAUACGUGU